UAUAGAUAGGAGUUUUACCUUUAGCUUUGUUAGAAUCAUCCUUCUCUUUCAUUUUGUCUUUCUCCCACCACUCUUUUGAUAAUGGUGUGUCUCCAAGACGAGUAGAAGAAGGCACCUUCUCAAGAUUUUGUUCCUCUUGAGCUUCUUUAUUUCUUGGAGACCUCCUCUUGCUUGUUGGUUCACCAACAUCUUCUUCACGAAUAGUUCUACCUCUUUUCUCUUCAACCAUAGCAUCAUGCAAAUCAUCAUCAUAUUUGUCUUUACACAAAAAAGCUUUAAUACUAAUGAUAUCAACUAGAUCAUCCCAUU
rnacentral:lncRNA from 1 species